rnacentral:rRNA from 2 species
UACGAAGGGGGCUAGCGUUGUUCGGAAUUACUGGGCGUAAAGCGCACGUAGGCGGAUAUUUAAGUCAGGGGUGAAAUCCCAGAGCUCAACUCUGGAACUGCCUUUGAUGCUGGGUAUCUUGAGUAUGGAAGAGGUAAGUGGAAUUGCGAGUGUAGAGGUGAAAUUCGUAGAUAUUCGCAGGAACACCAGUGGCGAAGGCGGCUUACUGGUCCAUUACUGACGCUGAGGUGCGAAAGCGUGGGGAGCAAAC